rnacentral:rRNA from 1 species
GACGUAGGGCGCGAGCGUUGUCCGGAUUUAUUGGGCGUAAAGAGCUCGUAGGCGGCUUGUUGCGUCGGCUGUGAAAAACCCGCAGCUCAACUGUGGGCUUGCAGCCGAUACGGGCAGGCUAGAAUUCGGUAGGGGAGACUGGAAUUCCUGGUGUAGCGGUGAAAUGCGCAGAUAUCAGGAGGAACACCGGUGGCGAAGGCGGGUCUCUGGGCCGAUAUUGACGCUGAGGAGCGAAAGCGUGGGGAGCGAACAGG